UUGUUGUAGUCAGUGUGCAGCCUUCUGAACACCAGCCCCUCACGGUAAGCCAACUGCCACACGAAUGUAAACACGAGGACUAGACUGGCACAUUGCCCAUUAUCCAGGAGACAAAUGGAUCCACUACUAUUUCAAAUUCACCACGUAGGUAAGCUAUUAGUUUCGACAAAUUCCCAUAUACGCAGGUAAAUUCCUCGAUGUAAAAUCAGAUUUAAUGAAUCAUUCUAUGGCAUCAGCCUCAGCCUUUAAAAUUCUUUUUAUUUUCUCCUUUUCCACAUUAAAAAGACAUUUGAGAUACACACAGAAAAUGUUUCUCUAAAAAACAUACACAUACGCACAAAACAGGAGGUCUCUUAAGGAGUCUACUGCUGAGAAGGUAAAAGCAUUUUGCUCAUUUUUAAUUUGCUAAAACAAUCCAAGCAUGCUUGGUACCCAGAGGGUAUUCUCAAAUAAACUUGUAUCUCUAGCUGCCAGCUUAGUUGAUUGAAAACAGAAGGCAAACGUUUCUUAAAGAAUGAGUAUGUUAAACUGUUAUGUCUCUCCCAGUUCCACCACACACACACACACACACACACACACACACACACACACACACACGCGCGCGCGCGCGCGCGCGCGCGCGGCAAGGAUUUGCUUGAAAGCAGCCAGUUCUAGCAUCUGAGACGUAACGCAGCCUCCUGCGGUGCACCUCCUAGCUAGGAAGCCGCUGGUACGAGCGGGGAUACUGGACAGUUUGUGCGUGCUUUUCUCCACGCACAAAGCCUACGUCCAACUUUGCUAACUUAGUUGGCUCGCGCCCAGCCGACCCCCGAAGCACAGUCACGGUGAAAACGUUUUGAUACCAGAAAAUCAUUUCCACGGCAGUACAAGUGUUCGAAAGCACAAAGGCAGACACUGUCGACCCGCGCGCUAGCUAGGAAGUUGCGGUACUCGGGGCGGCGGCGCGGAGCACGCGUCCAGAAGUUACAGAAUCGGUACAAACAAGUGCUUUAAAAACAAAAUUUGAAAAAAGAAAAUACAAUUUGGAAAAUCAGAGAGUUCCCAGGUGAUGGCCAUGGGGCUGGCUCUUGAAUCCACAUUGAGUCGGAUGCUCCAAGGAACAUCAACAUUCAAGAGUGGCGUGAGAAGAAACCCAAAAGGCUAAGCCCAUGGAUUCUGAGAAGGAGGAAGAGUCUCAAGAGAAGAUGGUGUCUUGAAGUCUGCAGACACGAAGGAGGCUUUUUGUCUUCUGGUUCCAAAGGUUGAAACUUCACACCAAAGAGCAGGAGCAGGUGCUGGACUGGAUCUGUAAUUCAGCUUCUGCAGCUCCUUAUCUUGCUAAGAUCUCCUCUGCUCCCUUUCAAGCCUCUGACGAGGGCAGCCUGGUGAACAUUUGGGAGAAGAGGAGAAUCAACACCCAGUGAAGAACUUGUUCUGAACAUGUUGCAUUUCCACCCUCCCUGAUGGUUUCAGCAGGGGUUCUCUGGAGCGCACAAUCCCAUAAACAGCAGCAUCUCCAGAGGCUGAAGAUUCUGCCCUCUCCAUCCUGUGCAAGGAGAUUGGUUAAGGAAACUGUGACGUUUUCCCAGUGCAGAUGACAGUGUUUCUGAGAAAAUGAUUGUUGUGGAUCUCUUUGGGACGCUUUAACCAAGGCGUUCACAACCCAUUGCUUGUGGCUAAGUUGGGCUUGAAAAUACCACAAUCUGUUGGGGAGGAAAAGCCUCAUGUCUCUAGGUUUUAGGGGGCAAUCUAUAGCAUCAUAACUCAAUCUUAACACAGUUCAAUCUAGCCAGAGAGAUGACGUCUUUGCCUAACACCCAGAAGGACAGAUCAAGUGAAGGAAGUUCAUCCAAGACGCUCCUGUUCUGUGCAUGAAAACACAAGUCUACGUCUUUUCCAUUUGGCCAUUUCCAGUUUUCUUUGAGCACAGGAGUUUGUUUAUUUGAUUGUUUUAUAUUCGGGCAGCUAGGGACUGAGAUAUUUCUUUUCUGUUUGUUUCUCCAACUCUUUUUACAAUUUAACAAGUCAAAUACAAAACUCAGGGGAGUUAAUAAGCCUCGUGAUGGGGCGGCGAGUAGCAUCCAUAUUGAUUGGAAACACUGCUUUGGAAGGCGGUGGGAGAGCCCCAAACCAAACUUUCAGAUGCCUGAAGCUUUGAGCUUUCCAAUUAGGCUGAAAGUUUCCCUUGAUAACCAGUAGUGCUGAAGCUUUUAAUAUUGUUUAGCUCUAUGUGUUCUCAGCAACAUUUUCGAGUUAGGAAGGCCAGCAGAUCCCUUGAUGUCAGCAAGGUAGCGAUCCAACCCCCUUACACACUUUCUGAUCCAAUAUGCUCUCUGGAAAAAAAAAAAAAAGUCUUCAGCUUAACGUAAACUGAUCAUAAUUGGGAGCAAUUCUUCUUUCCCUUCUUCAAUGCUAUCUCCUCCUGUGCAGCCUAUUUUGCAUCCAAAGAUACAUUUGAAAGUCGAAAUCCCUUAGAGCUAAAUAUUCUAAACUGACAGAAGAAUUUCUAGUGGCACACCAGCCUGGAGCGAUGUUUUUAUGAGGACAUCACUUUCUAUUUCCAAGCUUCAGUAUGCACUCUUGCUUCCUUUUUCCUGGGAGCCAUGCCACAUCAACUUGCCUCCCUCUCAGCUUUUAAUGUUUUUUUAAUGGAGUCCAGUUUUGCACCUAAGUUAUGGCUAGCUUUCUGACAAACCAUCAGACACCUAAGUAACCAGAAUGGAGGUAUCCAGAUGCCACAUGGGGAGAAAGCCAAUGGUAAACUUUUCCUUCCUUUGAACAAACCGUAUUAUAAUAAUGCCUUUUUGCCCUUUUUUUUUUAAACCUGGCCUCUGGGUUUGCCAUAAAGCCUAAAAGGGGCUUAAGAAAAACAUUUUAAAAAUUAAUAUGUGAUCUGAAGUCUUUUCUUGUAAGCCACAAGCUAAAGUAAUCAUCUCUCAAUCUGGCUGGUGUGGCGAGUGUGCUGCCUGAAUGGUGAAAUAGCAGUACUGCUGCAUUUUUCUCCUCGAGCAUAAAAUUGCUUGUGGAGCAUUGAAGUCAGUUAUCCAGUGAAAUAAAGCGAGCACGCUUUGCAGGUAGAUGAUUGUUUAGAGGAACUUAAGAAAAUAAUUGUGAAUUGUGCAAUGAAUGAUCAUUGCUGACGCCAACUCAUCAGGGAAUGUGGCAUUUCUGUGAUAAAGAAGAAAUAAGGGUUCUUGAAAAUUGGCAGUUUGGGAUGGUCUUAUCUACGGAACUUGGAAGACAAAUGCAGAACAUUCAGAAAUUAAAUAUGCCCUCAGCUGAGAAAUAAUGCUCAGGGUUGGUCUGCUGGCAAGUGAAAGGUGAGUGUUCUCUCUGUGCCCGGGCUUUAAGAUUUCUGCUCGGAAUCAUGUGGGUGUUCCGGCUGUGAGGGUCUAGAAUCUAUACAACAAUAUGAGUAAAUGUCGUGCCUAAGAAACAGGCAGAAUAUAGCUUUCUAGAUUCACACCAACCGAGUCUUUCUCAGGAUUCAGAUUUCAGCUGAAUAUGUUUCCCUCCCCUAUGAAGCCUUCCUAUCCAUGUUAGCUCACUCUGUAUUGUCAUCUUUCUUUAUUUUACUAAUCAUUUUCUGGAAUUAUUGUCUUUAUUUGUUUGCUGGUUUGUUAAAGCCUCUGCCUGGUUGAAAAUCAGUUCCCAGAGAGCAGGAUGUUAUAUCUCCUUCACCACUGAUUCCUAGCCCCUAGAAGCAGUGCCUGGCAUUUUGUACAUCUUCAAUAGUAAAUAAGUAAGGGAGUUCCCUUAGUGGUUCAGUAGGUUAAGAACCUGACUAGUAACCACGAGGAUGUGGGUUCAAUCCCUGGCCUCAUUCAGUGGGUUAAGGAUCCAGUAUAGGUGUAGGUCUCAGAUGCAGCUCAGAUCUGGCAUUGCUGUGGCUGUGGUGUAGGCUGGCAGCUGUAGCUCCGAUUUGACCCCUAGCCUGGGAACUUCCAUAUGCUGAAGGUGUUGCCUUAAAAAGUAAAUAAACAUAAAAAUAAGCAUCAUUAGAAAAUAAGUAAGUUAAGUAAUGAAUGAAUGAAAACAGAAUUCUAACUACAAUAUAGCUCUGAAGAGAGUUACACAACGUUGAAUGGCUCGUAAGAUGGAUAUAAGAUAUGGACGUACAUGGCGUCUAAAAUGUAGUCAAAUGAGGUCAGGAAUUAUCUUUAUACUAAAAAAAAAAAUCUCCAUAGCAUCAGGCACAGCAUCUGAUAUUUCACUGCUGAAGGUGGGUUAACGGUGAGGUCUGGGGAGAUGCCUGGGUGUUACAUUCACUACAGGCGGUGAUAAGGAAAUGUGCUGGCGGGAGGGAGCACCUCUGGGGAGAAGAUCCCCAAAUACCAAGUUACCUGGAUUGAUGGGACCAUCUUCUCCAGUGUGGGAACUCCUUGAACCAAGCUUGAAAUUCCUCGCGCAAAGACUUUCCCCUUGGACCACGGAGAGAAAAUAUUUUAGCAAUGGAUUCAUAUCUGGGGUACUUUCUUUUAAACCAGUCCUUGCUGGCUUUUACACUGGUAAAAACUGUUCUUGCCAAAAAAAUCAGUUGGGCUGAUGGAGUCUGAGAUUCGUUAGAAAGAUUAGUAACUUAAAGCAAAGUACUUCUUUGAAUUUGAUGUAUUUUACAGGAAGGGACCUAGUUUGAUGUUGCCCAGCUUAACUUUUCAUCCAAAUUCCCCUGGAGGAGUGUUUUUUAAUCUGAUGUAUUUUUAUCCCUGUCUUCUGAAGUGGCAUUUUUUUUUUUUUUUUUUUCCUAACAGGAGGAUAGAGUAACGUGGAAAGCAGCUUUUAUUCACUACAAGGACAACUAAUGCACAUGCAACCAAGGGCAGAGUUAGUCUCUAGGUGCAUAUAUUAGCCUAAGGGUAUUGUGGGUCCCUGUGUCUUAGAAAACUCUAAAAAUAAUUACCCUGUGAUUAGUAUCUGAUGCCAAUGGUAUAUUUUCACUUUAAGAGUCUGAGGUCUUUAUUUCCUUGAGACAAUGAAUGAACUUCUUUUCACCUUGUUCUUGGCUACUUUGCUUCCGCUCUCUUAACAUAGACACAUACCCAGGCAUGUGCAGGGGCAGACUGCCCCCUGCCAAUGGUGGAUUUUCUAAUAAAAUGCUUUCUCUUCA